rnacentral:tRNA from 1 species
GCCGGCUUAGCUCAGUUGGUAGAGCACCUGAUUUGUAAUCAGGGGGUCGCGGGUUCGAACCCUGCAGCCGGCA